GCUGGUUCAUAUACCAUACAACAGCCAGGAAAUUGGCCUGUUUACUUUAAGAUCCCAAGAAAAUGUAACAUAUUUUGGAUGUGCUUUGAGGAAUCAGGAAUGCAAGUGUUUCCUCUUGUUUAUGAAGCAACUAAGUUGGUUAAGGGGCAAACAACUUGUGAGCAUGGUACAUCACUACCUGUAUUGGUAUUCCAUUUUGACAAUGUUACUAGCUAGAAUAGAAAUAACAUCUUGCUGUGGUACAGUCUGUGGAGACUUUUACUAGGAUAUCACAGAUCGACUGAAUAUUCAACAAUGAUCACAGACCAUGCAUAGUUUGAAUCUGACUUGCACUUUUGAAUUUAGAAGAAUCUGUGGAGGAGGUUGAAUGCUGAGACCUUUAAUAAUACAUGAUAUUGCUGACACAGUGUGUCAGUUAUGAAAGAAAGGCCAUAACACAGCACAGUUGGUCAACAAUGAUUUAAAUCCUGUCACAUUCUACCAGUGAAGAAAUAUCUUGUCACAAUAUUUUAAACUUUUGAAGAAGAUAACCCAGUAUUACCACUUUAUCAUGUCUGCAGAAACACCUGGAUUGUUAGUGUUAAAAGUGACAGUCCAGUUAACUUACUAAAAUCUACUCCCCCUUG